GAGGUUGUGGCUCAGUGGUAGAGUGCUCGUCUAGCAUGCGUGAGGCACUGGGUUCAAUCCUCAGCACCACA
rfam:Ictidomys tridecemlineatus contig042566, whole genome shotgun sequence.